UGUAUGAUGAAGAACCAACAAAUAUGAAACACUAACUAGGAAAUAUCGGGAGGGCACAUUACACCAAAGCUUUAAUCAGUAUGCUGUGUGUCCAAAUCCUUUCGGGGUACCUGUUCUGGUCAAUUGCUUAGCAUUUUUUUAAAAGGAAUUCUUGGCUCAACUUUCUUAUGGUAUACUUACUUUUCCUCAAAUCUUUUAUGUGCCUCCUCAGCUGUUGGGUAUUUUGCCAUAGGUAUUAUGAUUUGCUAGAGAUUUUUUUCCAGCAGAGAUAGUGAUAUUAAACUGGUGUUUAUUUUAGCUGGCAUUACAGUGUGUGGACAAAGUGAAAAAAAGUUUUGCUUCUCAUUACUUUUGGUAUUUUUCUAAUUCAGUAGAGACUUCUAGCAUCAAACUUUAACUGAAGUGAUACUUCAAAUUUGAUUGCACUUUCAACAUUCUCAAUUCUAAUUCUUGCCUUUCUUUUUUCGGUACAGACCCAGCUAAGAUAUGUGUUGCCAGCAGCUGUUAAAGUCCAGAUUUCACCCAAUUGUAGCAUAACUCAUGCAUAAGUUGGACUACCUACAUGAACAUUGACAAUCUCACUGUUUUUUUCUUUCUAGCAUGAUAUUUCCUUUUCUUUGGAUAUUGUUACAACACAGUUAGAACCACCAUGAAAUUCCAAUAUUAGAUCUUAAAUGUACAGCGAUGUUGGGGAAAACCCGAUGCUCAUCACGGACACGGUUGGUGUAAUGAUAUGUUUCUUUUCUGCUUCUUCCUUAUAUUACACACAAAAAAAUUAUGGACUUAGCUCUUUUGUACUGCCACCAAGUUUUCUACUGCAACAUUAUCCUUAUCUCUGAUGCAGAUCAAAGUCAGACCAAAAGAGUGUCUCUUCCCUUUUAAAGCUCAAGUCAGCAUAUAAUGUUACUUCAAGUAAAGGUUUAUCGGGAUAUGUACAAGUUUCUCUUCUCUUUUCCACAGCCGACAACAACUGGUUGAAUCUAUAUUGUACCCGCUUACACCAAGAACAUCAAGAAUUUCACAACUUUUCUCUUUCUAGCAAGCUUGGCAAUGUAAUAAUAUAACUUUGUUCCGCACAAUAUGAAGCAUAUUAUGUUAUGAGUAAUAUUUAACUUGA